AACGAACGCUGGCGGCAUGCCUAACACAUGCAAGUCGAACGAGACCUUCGGGUCUAGUGGCGCACGGGUGCGUAACGCGUGGGAAUCUGCCCUUGGGUACGGAAUAACUCAGAGAAAUUUGUGCUAAUACCGUAUAAUGUCUUCGGACCAAAGAUUUAUCGCCCAAGGAUGAGCCCGCGUAAGAUUAGCUUGUUGGUGAG
rnacentral:rRNA from 1 species